GCGCUAUCUAUACUCGUUGUCACUUUGGAUGAAGCGCAUCCGAUAACAUCGUCUAUCAGUGCUUCUCUCCUCUUCGUACUAGACACUGCACCUACAAAACCCAAUUAGCUCAGAAGAUGCUAUUUUGUAAAGAUCAACUUUGUAAACAAAAUAGUUCAGGUUUUGCGUACCUGAACCCUUGGCCUCA